rnacentral:rRNA from 1 species
GUGAGUCAUCGAAUCUUUGAACGCACCUUGCGCUCUCUGGUAUUCCGGAGAGCAUGCCUGUUUGAGUGUCAUGAACUCUUCAACCCACCGGUUCCUUGUUGAACCGAGUUGGUGUUUGGAUUUUGAGCUUUGCUAUUCAUUUAGCUAGCUCGUAAUAUAUUAGCAUCUUUCAAUUUCAUAAUCGGAUUGACUCAGCGUAAUAGAUCUAUUCGCUGAGGACACUUUUACUAGUGGCCGGUAAUUGGAGAUAGAGAAGCUUCCAACUCUUCUAGUCAACUUUAGAUUAGUACCUCAAAUUCAGGCAGGAUUACCCGCUGAACUUAAGCAUAUCAAUAAGCGGAGG